GUUAAUGUAGCUUAAACAACUACAAAGCAAGACACUGAAAA
rnacentral:tRNA from 1 species